rnacentral:rRNA from 1 species
AGUGAACGCUGGCGGUAGGCCUAACACAUGCAAGUCGAACGGCAGCACAGAGGAGCUUGCUCCUUGGGUGGCGAGUGGCGGACGGGUGAGGAAUACAUCGGAAUCUACUCUGUCGUGGGGGAUAACGUAGGGAAACUUACGCUAAUACCGCAUACGACCUACGUGUGAAAGCCGGGGAUCUUCGUACCUUGCGCGAUUGAAUGAGCCGAUGUCGGAUUAGCUAGUUGGCGGGGUAAAGGCCCACCAAGGCGACGGUCCGUAGCUGGUCUGAGAGGAUGAUCAGCCACACUGGAACUGAGACACGGUCCAGACUCCUACGGGAGGCAGCAGUGGGGAAUAUUGGACAAUGGGCGCAAGCCUGAUCCAGCCAUACCGCGUGGGUGAAGAAGGCCUUCGGGUUGUAAAGCCCUUUUGUUGGGAAAGAAAUCCAUCUGGUUAAUACCCGGGUGGGAUGACGGUACCCAGAGAAUAAGCACCGGCCAACUUCGUGCCAGCAGCCGCCGUAA